rnacentral:rRNA from 1 species
GCUAAGAAUAUUCCGCAAUGGACGAAAGUCUGACGGAGCGACGCCGCGUGGAUGAUGAAGGCCGAAAGGUUGUAAAAUCCUUUUGAACUGGAAGAAUAAGCAGUGCAGGAAAUGGCAUUGUGGUGACGGUACAGUUUGAAUAAGCAACGGCUAAUUACGUGCCAGCAGCCGCGGUAACACGUAAGUUGCGAGCGUUGUUCGGAAUUAUUGGGCGUAAAGGGCAUGUAGGCGGUUAUCUAAGCUUGGUGUGAAAGGCAGGGGCUUAACUCCUGGACUGCAUUGAGAACUGGAUGACUAGAGUUACUGAAGUGGAAUCAGAAUUCCAGGUGUAGGGGUGAAAUCUGUAGAUAUCUGGAAGAAUACCAAUGGCGAAGGCAGGUUUCAGGCAGAUAACUGACGCUGAGGUGCGAAGGUGCGGGGAGCAAACAGGAUUAGAAACCCCUGUAGUCC